rnacentral:rRNA from 1 species
GACGAAGGAUGCAAGCGUUAUCCGGAUUCAUUGGGUUUAAAGGGAGCGUAGGUGGUCUUAUAAGUCAGUGGUGAAAUCUCUGGGCUUAACCCAGAAAUUGCCAUUGAUACUGUAGGACUUGAGUAUAGUUCCGUUGGCGGAAUAUGACAUGUAGUGGUGAAAUACAUAGAGAUGUCAUAGAACACCGAUUGCGAAGGCAGCUAACGAAACUAUAACUGACACUGAGGCUCGAAAAGUGUCGGGUAGGGAGCAAAACAGG